ensembl:lncRNA
UCCGUUUUCUUUGGGGCAGCCCUGGCCCUCUAUUUCACAUCAGGUGCCCUCAAGGCCCCACCACGUUCCCUGGCACGUGGGUGGGGCUCAGGAAAUGACCGCGCCUUGCUGUGCUGCGCUAUGUCGCUCUGCCGUGUUCGCCUCUGCAGCCCCGUGGACUGUGGCCCACCAGGCCCCUCUGUCCAUGGGAUUUCCCAGGCAAGGAUACCGGAGUAGGGUGGCAUUUCCUCCUCCAAGGGAUCUUCCGAGCCCAGGCACUGAACCCAGGUCGCUUGCAUCUCCCUCAUUAGCAGUCAGAUCCUUUACCGUUAGCCCCCCCCCCCCACGCUGUGGGUUCUCCUAGUUCCUCAGUGUCCUUAGCUGCCCUGUCCUUUCUCCUGGAAACGUCCUUCCCAGGAGUCUUGCAGGAGUCUUAAACCUAAACCUGUGACAUGUGGGGCUCCCGUAGCCCUGACUUCCUCCCAACACCUUAAUGACUGAACCUCCUAGCCCCAGGCUCAGAGCUUUCCCUUCCAGCUGUGCCCAAGAAACACCUCUACUUUCCAAAUCCAGUUUCCCUUUAAGGAUCUCAGAAGUCGCACUGUGUCCCCAAAUUCCUAUGCUGAAGUCCUCUGAAUGCCAGGUCAUCUGGAGGUGGUCUUUACAAGGAAUCAAGCUCCUGCUGCAGGAAGAUUGUGGAUUGGUCCCCGGACUGGUUCCUGCUCAAUCUGGGAGAAGGCGAUGGCACCCCACUCCAGUACUCUUGACUGGAAAAUCCCAUGGACGGAGGACCCUGAUAGGCUGCAGUCCAUGGGGUCGCAAAGAGUCGGACACGACUGAGG